AAAAGAGGCUGAGCUUACCCAGGUGUGACCGCUAAAUAUAGUGAAGUUUAUGGUUGUUUGUUUGAGGUUUUCCCUAUUGUCAAAGAAACCGAAAACUUCUCUUGAAUGUGUGUGUGCAUAUCUGCAAAAUCUGCUCAGGGUUGGAAGGUGUUGCGGAUGCAAUACAUUGUGAUCUUUUGUUCCUUUUCUUUGCCAUUUUGGUGUUGGACUCAUUAAGGUCCAUCUAUGAGAUUUUCCUUCAUUAAAGGAAUAAGAUUCAUCCUUAAUUUAUAGGAUGAGAUUU
rnacentral:misc_RNA from 1 species